ACCCUCGUAUUAUUGUGUUCUGGGUUGUGACCGAGCUUAGCCUUGUUCAUUUUUUUACACAACACCCGCGUAAAAAAUAAAAGACGGCACGCUUGAGAUAGCCCUUCGUAGGUGAAAUAGCGGAUAAUGGCACGCCCCGAUUUGCAGCAAAUCUGCCGUAGAUGUGCCAUUUCAGGGCAU
rnacentral:sRNA from 1 species